AACGAACGCUGGCGGCAUGCCUAACACAUGCAAGUCGAACGAACCCUUCGGGGUUAGUGGCGCACGGGUGCGUAACGCGUGGAAAUCUGCCCUUUGCUUCGGAAUAACUCAGGGAAACUUGUGCUAAUACCGGAUGAUGUCUUCGGACCAAAGAUUUAUCGGCAAGGGAUGAGCCCGCGUAGGAUUAGGUAGUUGGUGGGGUAAAGGCCUACCAAGCCGACGAUCCUUAGCUGGUCUGAGAGGAUGAUCAGCCACACUGGGACUGAGACACGGCCCAGACUCCUACGGGAGGCAGCAGUGGGGAAUAUUGGACAAUGGGCGCAAGCCUGAUCCAGCAAUGCCGCGUGAGUGAUGAAGGCCCUCGGGUCGUAAAGCUCUUUUACCAGGGAUGAUAAGGACAGUACCUGGAGAAUAAGCUCCGGCUAACUCCGU
rnacentral:rRNA from 1 species